UACGAAGGGGGCUAGCGUUGCUCGGAAUCACUGGGCGUAAAGGGUGCGUAGGCGGGUCUUUAAGUCAGGGGUGAAAUCCUGGAGCUCAACUCCAGAACUGCCUUUGAUACUGAGGAGCUUGAGUCCGGGAGAGGUGAGUGGAACUGCGAGUGUAGAGGUGAAAUUCGUAGAUAUUCGCAAGAACACCAGUGGCGAAGGCGGCUCUCUGGGACGGUACUGACGCUGAGACGCGAAAGCGUGGGGAGCGAACAGG
rnacentral:rRNA from 1 species